GUUUUCUAAUCGACAAUCCACGUUAAUUUUAACUUUAAUUAUAAAUUUAUAUACCGCCAUCUAAAAAACUAAUUUUAUAAUAAUAUUUUUAAUAAAAAAUAAAAAGUUAGGUCAAGGUGUAAUCUAUAUUAAAGUAAAUAAUGGGUUACAUUAAAAAUAAUUUAAGGAUUAUUAUAUUAAAAUAUUUUAUAAAAAAGAAUUUAAAAGUAAUAAAAUAAUAAUAUUUUAUUAUGAUUUAGAUAAUAAAUGUGCACACAUCGCCCGUC
rnacentral:rRNA from 1 species